GCCGAGGUGGUGGAAUUGGCAGACACGCAUGGUUGAGGGCCAUGUGGGCAUCAACGCUCGUGCGGGUUCAAGUCCCGCCCUCGGCACCA
rnacentral:tRNA from 2 species